AUUUAUCUGACGAGUUUUAAAUAGGACGAAAUGUGUGUCUUAGAU
rnacentral:hammerhead_ribozyme from 1 species